GACGAACGCUGGCGGCGUGCUUAAUACAUGCAAGUCGAACGGAAAGGCCCUGCUUUUGCGGGGUGCUCGAGUGGCGAACGGGUGAGUAACACGUGAGUAACCUGCCCUUGACUUUGGGAUAACUUCAGGAAACUGGGGCUAAUACCGGAUAGGAGAUCUUGCUGCAUGGUGGGGGUUGGAAAGUUUCGGCGGUUGGGGAUGGACUCGCGGCUUAUCAGCUUGUUGGUGGGGUAGUGGCUGACCAAGGCUUUGACGGGUAGCCGGCCUGAGAGGGUGGACGGCCACAUGAGGACUAAGGUACGGCCCAGACUGCUACGGGAGGCAGCAGUGGGGAAUAUUGCACAGUGGGCGGAAGCCUGGUGCAGCAGCGCCGCGUGCGGAAUGACGGCCUUCGGGUUGUGAACCACUUUCGCCUGUAACAAGGCGUGAGUGACGGUAAUGAAUAAAAAAGCACCGGCUAACUACGUG
rnacentral:rRNA from 1 species